rnacentral:rRNA from 1 species
GAUGAACGCUGACAGAAUGCUUAACACAUGCAAGUCAACUUGAAUUUGGGUUUUUAACUUAGGUUUGGGUGGCGGACGGGUGAGUAACGCGUAAAGAACUUGCCUCACGGCUAGGGACAACAUUUGGAAACGAAUGCUAAUACCUAAUAUUAUGAUAAUAGGGCAUCCUAUAAUUAUGAAAGCUAUAAGCGCUGUGAGAGAGCUUUGCGUCCCAUUAGCUAGUUGGAGAGGUAACGGCUCACCAAGGCGAUGAUGGGUAGCCGGCCUGAGAGGGUGAUCGGCCACAAGGGGACUGAGACACGGCCCUUACUCCUACGGGAGGCAACAGUGGGGAAUAUUGGACAAUGGACCGAGAGUCUGAUCCAGCAAUUCUGUGUGCACGAUGAAGUUUUUCGGAAUGUAAAGUGCUUUCAGUUGGGAAGAAACAAAUGACGGUACCAACAGAAGAAGUGACGGCUAAAUACGUG